UUACGGCCAUAUCACGUUGAAGCAACGGCUCUUGUACGAUCACCGAAGUUAAGCAACGCCCAGCCUGGUCAGUAUCUAGAUGUGUGACCAGUUGGGGAUGCCAGGUGCUGUCAG